rnacentral:rRNA from 1 species
AAAAGAAGGUACCUGAGGAAUAAGCAUCGGCUAACUCCGUGCCAGCAGCCGCGGUAAUACGGAGGAUGCAAGCGUUAUCCGGAAUGAUUGGGCGUAAAGCGUCCGCAGGUGGAAUUUCAAGUCUGCUGUUAAAGAGUUUGGCUUAACCAAAUAAAGGCAGUGGAAACUGAAAAACUAGAGUGCGUUCGGGGUAGAGGGAAUUCCUGGUGUAGCGGUGAAAUGCGUAGAGAUCAGGAAGAACACCGGUGGCGAAAGCGCUCUACUAGGCCGCAACUGACACUGAGGGACGAAAGCUAGGGGAGCGAAUGGGAUUAGAUACCCCAGUAGUCCUAGCCGUAAACGAUGGAUACUAGGCGUUGCUUGUAUCGACCCGAGCAGUGCCGUAGCUAACGCGUUAAGUAUCCCGCCUGGGGAGUACGCACGCAAGUGUGAGACUCAAAGGAAUUGACGGGGGCCCGCACAAGCGGUGGAGUAUGUGGUUUAAUUCGAUGCAACGCGAAGAACCUUACCAGGACUUGACAUGUCGCGAAUCCUCUUGAAAGGGAAGAGUGCCUUCGGGAGCGCGAACACAGGUGGCGCAUGGCUGUCGUCAGCUCGUGUCGUGAGAUGUUGGGUUAAGUCCCGCAACGAGCGCAACCCUCGUUUUUAGUUGCCAGCACUUAGGGUGGGCACUCUAAAGAGACUGCCGGUGACAAACCGGAGGAAGGUGGGGAUGACGUCAAGUCAGCAUGCCCCUUACGUCCUGGGCUACACACGUACUACAAUGCUAUGAACAAAGGGCAGCAAGCUAGGGAUAGCAAGCAAAUCCCAUAAAUCAUGGCUCAGUUCAGAUCGAAGGCUGCAACUCGCCUUCGUGAAGGUGGAAUCGCUAGUAAUUGCAGGUCAGCAUACUGCAGUGAAUUCGUUCCCGGGCCUUGCACACACCGCCCGU